AUUGAACGCUGGCGGCAGGCCUAACACAUGCAAGUCGAAUGGUAACAGGAAACAGCUUGCUGUUUCGCUGACGAGUGGCGGACGGGUGAGUAAUGUCUGGGAAACUGCCUGAUGGAGGGGGAUAACUACUGGAAACGGUAGCUAAUACCGCAUAACGUCGCAAGACCAAAGAGGGGGACCUUCGGGCCUCUUGCCAUCAGAUGUGCCCAGAUGGGAUUAGCUAGUAGGUGGGGUAACGGCUCACCUAGGCGACGAUCCCUAGCUGGUCUGAGAGGAUGACCAGCCACACUGGAACUGAGACACAGUCCAGACUCCUACGGGAGGCAGCAGUGGGGAAUAUUGCACAAUGGGCGCAAGCCUGAUGCAGCCAUGCCGCGUGUAUGAAGAAGGCCUUCGGGUUGUAAAGUACUUUCAGCGGGGAGGAAGGGAGUAAAGUUAAUACCUUUGCUCAUUGACGUUACCCGCAGAAGAAGCACCGGCUAACUCCGUG
rnacentral:rRNA from 1 species